UUUUCGGUGGCAAUAGCGAAGAGGUCACACCCGUUCCCAUCUCGAACACGGAAGUUAAGCUCUUCAGCGCCGAUGGUACUGCACGGGCAGCUGUGUGGGAGAGUAGGACGCCGCCGAAAUCU
rnacentral:rRNA from 1 species